AUUGAACGCUGGCGGCAUGCUUUACACAUGCAAGUCGAACGGUAACAGGCCGCAAGGUGCUGACGAGUGGCGCACGGGUGAGUAAUGCAUCGGAACGUGCCCAGUCGUGGGGGAUAACUACUCGAAAGAGUAGCUAAUACCGCAUACGAUCUAUGGAUGAAAGCGGGGGACCGUAAGGCCUCGCGCGAUUGGAGCGGCCGAUGUCAGAUUAGGUAGUUGGUGGGGUAAAGGCUCACCAAGCCAACGAUCUGUAGCUGGUCUGAGAGGACGACCAGCCACACUGGGACUGAGACACGGCCCAGACUCCUACGGGAGGCAGCAGUGGGGAAUUUUGGACAAUGGGCGCAAGCCUGAUCCAGCAAUGCCGCGUGCAGGAAGAAGGCCUUCGGGUUGUAAACUGCUUUUGUACGGAACGAAACGGCUCUGGUUAAUACCCGGGGAUAAUGACGGUACCGUAAGAAUAAGCACCGGCUAACUACGU
rnacentral:rRNA from 1 species